rnacentral:rRNA from 1 species
UAGGGAAUCUUCGGCAAUGGACGGAAGUCUGACCGAGCAACGCCGCGUGAGUGAAGAAGGUUUUCGGAUCGUAAAGCUCUGUUGUAAGAGAAGAACGAGUGUGAGAGUGGAAAGUUCACACUGUGACGGUAACUUACCAGAAAGGGACGGCUAACUACGUGCCAGCAGCCGCGGUAAUACGUAGGUCCCGAGCGUUAUCCGGAUUUAUUGGGCGUAAAGCGAGCGCAGGCGGUUAGAUAAGUCUGAAGUUAAAGGCUGUGGCUUAACCAUAGUACGCUUUGGAAACUGUUUAACUUGAGUGCAGAAGGGGAGAGUGGAAUUCCAUGUGUAGCGGUGAAAUGCGUAGAUAUAUGGAGGAACACCGGUGGCGAAAGCGGCUCUCUGGUCUGUAACUGACGCUGAGGCUCGAAAGCGUGGGGAGCAAACAGGAUUAGAUACCCUGGUAGUCCACGCCGUAAACGAUGGGUACUAGGUGUAGGAGGUAUCGACCCCUUCUGUGCCGGAGUUAACGCAAUAAGUACCCCGCCUGGGGAGUACGACCGCAAGGNUG